AAUCAACGCUGGCGGCGUGCCUCAGACAUGCAAGUCGAACGAUUAAAGCUCUCUUCGGAGAGUGUAUAGAGUGGCGCACGGGUGAGUAACACGUAAGUAAUCUACCUUUGAGUGGGGAAUAACGUCCGGAAACGGACGCUAAUACCGCAUAAUGCAGCGGCAUCGCAAGAUGACAGUUGUUAAAGAUUUAUCGCUUGAAGAGGAGCUUGCGGCAGAUUAGCUAGUUGGUAAGGUAAUGGCUUACCAAGGCUACGAUCUGUAACCGGUCUAAGAGGACGGUCGGUCACACUGACACUGAAUAACGGGUCAGACUCCUACGGGAGGCAGCAGUCGGGAAUUUUGGGCAAUGGGCGAAAGCCUGACCCAGCAACGCCGCGUGAAGGAUGAAGUAUUUCGGUAUGUAAACUUCGAAAGAAUGGGAAGAAUAAAUGACGGUACCAUUUAUAAGGUCCGGCUAACUACGUGCCAGCAGCCGCCGUAAAAC
rnacentral:rRNA from 1 species